AGAGUUUGAAUCAUGGCUCAGGAUGAACGCUGGCGGCGUGCCUAAUACAUGCAAGUCGAGCGAACUCUGGUAACUGAUUUUUGAUGCUUGCAUCAAAAUGAAGAUACAUUUGAGUGAGCGGCGGAUGGGUGAGUAACACGUGGGUAACCUGCCCUAAAGUGGGGGAUAACAUCUGGAAACAGGUGCUAAUACCGCAUAACAACAAUUUCCACAUGGUCAUUGUUUGAAAGAUGGUUCUGCUAUCGCUUUAGGAUGGACCCGCGGCGUAUUAGCUAGUUGGUGAGGUAACGGCUCACCAAGGCGAUGAUACGUAGCCGACCUGAGAGGGUAAUCGGCCACAUUGGGACUGAGACACGGCCCAAACUCCUACGGGAGGCAGCAGUAGGGAAUCUUCCACAAUGGACGAAAGUCUGAUGGAGCAACGCCGCGUGAGUGAAGAAGGUUUUCGGAUCGUAAAACUCUGUUGUUGAAGAAGAACAUGCGUGAGAGUAACUGUUCAUGUAUUGACGGUAUUCAACCAGAAAGCCACGGCUAACUACGUGCCAGCAGCCGCGGUAAUACGUAGGUGGCAAGCGUUAUCCGGAUUUAUUGGGCGUAAAGCGAGUGCAGGCGGUUUAUAAGGUCUGAUGUGAAAGCCCUCGGCUCAACCGAGGAAGUGCAUCGGAAACCGGUAAACUUGAGUGCAGAAGAGGAGAGUGGAACUCCAUGUGUAGCGGUGGAAUGCGUAGAUAUAUGGAAGAACACCAGUGGCGAAGGCGGCUCUCUGGUCUGUAACUGACGCUGAGGCUCGAAAGCGUGGGUAGCAAACAGGAUUAGAUACCCUGGUAGUCC
rnacentral:rRNA from 1 species